AGAGUUUGAUCAUGGCUCAGAAUCAACGCUGGCGGCGUGCCUCAGACAUGCAAGUCGAACGAUUAAACUUUCCUUCGGGAAAGAUAUAAAGUGGCGCACGGGUGAGUAACACGUAAGUAAUCUACCUUCGAGUGGGGAAUAACGUUCGGAAACGAACGCUAAUACCGCAUAAUGCAGCGGCAUCGCAAGAUGACAGUUGUUAAAGGAAUUUAUUUCGCUUGAAGAGGAGCUUGCGGCAGAUUAGCUAGUUGGUAAGGUAACGGCUUACCAAGGCUACGAUCUGUAUCCGGUCUAAGAGGACGGUCGGACACACUGACACUGAAUAACGGGUCAGACUCCUACGGGAGGCAGCAGUCGGGAAUUUUGGGCAAUGGGCGAAAGCCUGACCCAGCAACGCCGCGUGAAGGAUGAAGUAUUUCGGUAUGUAAACUUCGAAAGAAUGGGAAGAAUAAAUGACGGUACCAUUUAUAAGCUCCGGCUAACUACGUGCCAGCAGCCGCGGUAAUACGUAGGGAGCAAGCGUUGUUCGGAUUUACUGGGCGUAAAGGGCGCGUAGGCGGCGCGGUAAGUCACUUGUGAAAUCUCUGAGCUUAACUCAGAACGGCCAAGUGAUACUGCAGUGCUAGAGUGCAGAAGGGGCAAUCGGAAUUCUUGGUGUAGCGGUGAAAUGCGUAGAUAUCAAGAGGAACACCUGAGGUGA
rnacentral:rRNA from 1 species